rnacentral:rRNA from 1 species
AGCGAACGCUGGCGGCAGGCUUAACACAUGCAAGUCGAGCGCCCCGCAAGGGGAGCGGCAGACGGGAGCGUAACACGUGGGAACAUACCUUUUGGUUCGGAACAACUGAGGGAAACUUCAGCUAAUACCGGAUAAGCCCUUACGGGGAAAGAUUUAUCGCCGAAAGAUUGGCCCGCGUCUGAUUAGCUAGUUGGUGAGGUAACGGCUCACCAAGGCGACGAUCAGUAGCUGGUCUGAGAGGAUGAUCAGCCUCACUGGGACUGAGACACGGCCCAGACUCCUACGGGAAGCAGCAGUGGGGAAUAUUGGACAAUGGGGGCAACCCUGAUCCAGCCAUGCCGCGUGAGUGAUGAAGGCCUUAGGGUUGUAAAGCUCUUUUGCCCGGGAAGAUAAUGACGGUACCGGGAGAAUAAGCCCCGGCUAACUUCGUG